GGGGUUGUGGCUCAGCGGUAGAGCACCUGCCUCACGCACGGGAGGAACUGGGUUUGAUUCUCAGCACCA
rnacentral:tRNA from 1 species